rnacentral:rRNA from 1 species
UACGUAGGGUGCAAGCGUUGUCCGGAAUUAUUGGGCGUAAAGAGCUCGUAGGCGGUCUGUUGCGUCGGCUGUGAAAACCCGGGGCUCAACUCCGGGCCUGCAGCCGAUACGGGCAGACUAGAGUUCGGCAGGGGAGACUGGAAUUCCUGGUGUAGCGGUGAAAUGCGCAGAUAUCAGGAGGAACACCGGUGGCGAAGGCGGGGUCUCUGGGCCGAUACUGACGCUGAGGAGCGAAAGCGUGGGGAGCGAACAGG